GCGGACGGAGCGGCCGAUGGCAGAUUAGGUAGUUGGUGGGAUAAAAGCUUACCAAGCCGACGAUCUGUAGCUGGUCUGAGAGGACGACCAGCCACACUGGGACUGAGACACGGCCCAGACUCCUACGGGAGGCAGCAGUGGGGAAUUUUGGACAAUGGGCGAAAGCCUGAUCCAGCCAUGCCGCGUGCAGGAUGAAGGCCUUCGGGUUGUAAACUGCUUUUGUACGGAACGAAAAGACUCCUUCUAAUAAAGGGGGUCCAUGACGGUACCGUAAGAAUAAGCACCGGCUAACUACGUGCCAGCAGCCGCGGUAAUACGUAGGGUGCAAGCGUUAAUCGGAAUUACUGGGCGUAAAGCGUGCGCAGGCGGUUAUAUAAGACAGAUGUGAAAUCCCCUGGCUCAACCUGGGAACUGCAUUUGUGACUGUAUAGCUAGAAUACGGGAGAGGGGGAUGGAAUUCCGCGUGUAGCAAUG
rnacentral:rRNA from 1 species